GAGUUUGAUCCUGGCUCAGGAUGAACGCUGGCGGCGUGCCUAAUACAUGCAAGUCGAGCGGACAGAUAAGGAGCUUGCUCCUUUGACGUUAGCGGCGGACGGGUGAGUAACACGUGGGUAACCUACCUAUAAGACUGGAAUAACUCCGGGAAACCGGGGCUAAUGCCGGAUAAUAUUUAGAACCGCAUGGUUCUAAAGUGAAAGAUGGUUUUACUAUCACUUAUAGAUGGACCCGCGCCGUAUUAGCUAGUUGGUGGGGUAAUGGCUUACCAAGGCAACGAUACGUAGCCGACCUGAGAGGGUGAUCGGCCACACUGGAACUGAGACACGGUCCAGACUCCUACGGGAGGCAGCAGUAGGGAAUCUUCCGCAAUGGGCGAAAGCCUGACGGAGCAACGCCGCGUGAGUGAUGAAGGUCUUCGGAUCGUAAAACUCUGUUAUUAGGGAAGAACAAAUGUGUAAGUAACUGUGCACGUCUUGACGGUACCUAAUCAGAAAGCCACGG
rnacentral:rRNA from 1 species